UGCCGGUGUGGCGGAAUUGGCAGACGCGCACGACUCAAAAUCGUGUUCCUUCUGGAGUGCCGGUUCGACCCCGGCCACCGGUAUACAAAGGCUUCUACAAUAUGUAGAAG
rnacentral:tRNA from 1 species